UACGUAGGGUCCAAGCGUUGUCCGGAAUUAUUGGGCGUAAAGAGCUCGUAGGCGGUCUGUUGCGUCGGUUGUGAAAACCUGGGGCUCAACUCCAGGCCUGCAAUCGAUACGGGCAGACUAGAGUUCGGUAGGGGAGACUGGAAUUCCUGGUGUAGCGGUGAAAUGCGCAGAUAUCAGGAGGAACACCGGUGGCGAAGGCGGGUCUCUGGGCCGAAACUGACGCUGAGGAGCGAAAGCGUGGGGAGCGAACAGG
rnacentral:rRNA from 1 species